rnacentral:misc_RNA from 1 species
AGAAAACUCAUAACAGCCAGCUGCUCCCGUUGAGCCUGCUGAACUUUUCAUAACAUUAACUAUUAAGCCUUUACUAUUCAUAGUUUAAAUAGGAAAGAAUAUUAAACAAAAAACAAAGCAUAUAUUGUGGUGGUCAAACCAGUGAUGAACUGCGAAGGUUAGCAAUGGUUUUUAAACUAGUGAGUAUAUGGCCAUAUGGUUCUCUUACAAAUUUCUUCUCUUUUUAUGAGUUCAGAUUAAACCUUAAAAAUUACCUCCCGUUUGAGAACUAGGAAGUCAUUUGCUUAGACCAUGACAUAGUUUUUGUUGACCCCGUGUA